rnacentral:rRNA from 1 species
AGGAUUAGAUACCCUGGUAGUCCACGCCGUAAACGAUGGGUACUAGGUGCUUGGGGGAGCGACCCCCCGAGUGCCGGCGCUAACGCAUUAAGUACCCCGCCUGGGGAGUACGACCGCAAGGUUGAAACUCAAAGGAAUUGACGGGGGCCCGCACAAGCGGUGGAGCAUGUGGUUUAAUUCGACGCAACGCGAAGAACCUUACCCAGGCUUGACAUGUAUGAGAAAGCCUCUGGAAACAGGGGCCCCUCUUCGGAGCUCAUGCACAGGUGCUGCAUGGCUGUCGUCAGCUCGUGUCGUGAGAUGUUGGAUUAAGUUCCAUAACGAGCGCAACCCCUAUUUCUAGUUGCCAGCGAGUAAUGUCGGGGACUCUAGAGAAACUGCCCGCGUAAGCGGUGAGGAAGGUGGGGACGACGUCAAGUCAUCACGGCCCUUACGUCCAGGGCGACACACGUGCUACAAUGGUAGGGACAGUGAGUUGCAAGCCGGUAACGGUGAGCUAAUCUACAAACCCUAUCUCAGUUCGGAUCGAGGUCUGCAACCCGACCUCGUGAAGCUGGAAUCGCUAGUAAUCGCAUAUCAGCCAUGAUGCGGUGAAUACGUUCCCGGGCCUUGUACACACCGCCCGUCAAGCCAUGGAAGUUGGG